AUACGGGGGGUGCAAGCGUUAAUCGGAAUUACUGGGCGUAAAGCGCGCGUAGGCGGUUUGCUCAGUCGGAUGUGAAAGCCCAGGGCUCAACCUUGGAACUGCAUACGAUACUGGCAAACUAGAGUGUGAGAGAGGAUAGUGGAAUUUCCGGUGUAGCGGUGAAAUGCGUAGAUAUCGGAAGGAACAUCAGUGGCGAAGGCGACUGUCUGGCUCAACACUGACGCUGAGGUGCGAAAGUGUGGGUAGCAAACAGGAUUAGAAACCCCGGUAGUCC
rnacentral:rRNA from 1 species